UACGUAGGGGGCAAGCGUUGUCCGGAAUCAUUGGGCGUAAAGAGCGUGUAGGCGGCCAGAAAAGUCCGCUGUGAAACUCGAGGCUCAACUUCGAGCUGUCGGUGGAAACUUUCUGGCUAGAGUCCGGAAGAGGAGAAUGGAAUUCCUGGUGUAGCGGUGAAAUGCGCAGAUAUCAGGAAGAACACCCGUGGCGAAGGCGG
rnacentral:rRNA from 1 species